UAAAACUCAAAGAGAGGAGCACAGGAUAUGAAUGAUAAGCAGCACAAGCCACUAAUAUAUCAGACAUGAAGAAAGCAAUGGUAAAGUAAUGUUACCUUGAUCCAUUAUCACCUAAACCAUGUAGCCAUACAACAGUAGCUUGGCGUUUACCUUUGCAUAGGUCCUUCCAAAUUCAAAUGCCCUUCUAGCAUUUUUACCACUUGAAAUGAUGUUAAAGUAGAAUUUAAUGAGGGAGGAGAAGUGUGAGCACAUGUGUAUAUAUAUGCACAUAAAUUAUUUUGGAAUGCAUUACAGUUAUAAAUUUGCCUAACUUUUGCAUAGCUACACAUACAAACCAAGAAGCUUCUUUUAUUAAGUAAUGGAAAAUGAUGCAAGAGGAAAUAAACUAACCAGAACCCAUGGAAGGACCAGUGAAACUCAUAUUAGCUCCACAAAAGUAACCCAGCAAAACUGCUAAUUUCAAUGACAGAAAUAACACAGAACCUUCAGAACCGGAAGAAUCCGCGACUCCGAUACGGAGACUCCAAGGCAGCAGCAAACUGAACACGACAAAAC
rnacentral:misc_RNA from 1 species